rnacentral:rRNA from 1 species
CACGUAGGCACCAAGCGUUGUCCGGAUUUAUUGGGCGUAAAGAGCUCGUAGGCGGUUCAGUAAGUCGGGUGUGAAAACUCUGGGCUCAACCAGAGACGCCACCCGAUACUGCUGUGACUUGAGUACGGUAGGGGAGUGGGGAAUUCCUGGUGUAGCGGUGAAAUGCGCAGAUAUCAGGAGGAACACCGGUGGCGAAGGCGGGUCUCUGGGCAGUGAACUGACGCUGAGGAGCGAAAGCGUGGGGAGCGAACAGG